AGUAAAGUGGCGUACGGGUGAGUAACACGUGGAUCAUCUGCCCUAGAGUGGGGAAUAACAAGGCGAAAGCUUUGCUAAUACCGCAUAAUUCCGAGAGGGGAAAGCCGAAAGGCGCUCAAGGAGGAGUCCGCGGUCGAUUAGCUAGUUGGUAGGGUAAUGGCCUACCAAGGCUACGAUCGAUAGCCGGCCUGAGAGGGCACACGGCCACACUGGCACUGAAACACGGGCCAG
rnacentral:rRNA from 1 species